CAGGCCCUCACGCUGGACAGUUACUACAAAUGGCACCAGCCGCUUCUUGGAAAAAGUAACUUUCUUCAGGGCAGCAGUCCACAACGAACUUGCAUUAGGUGUUAAAUCAACUACAACUGCCUUUUCAGUCAAAUUAGGUUCAAAAGUUGACCAAGAUAUUCCAGUUGUACAGUGUAUGACUGCGUCAUAUUUCCUACCAGAUGGACUCUUGAGCGCUGCCCCCUCUGGAGUCCUGUAGUCAAGAACCUCAUCGGCACCUAAACCCUUGACAAACUCAAUGUUGCGAGCCCCACAAGUGGCUGUGACAUGGGUGUUCCCUAGCUUUGCUAGUUGAACAGCAUAGUGACCCACACCACCUGAAGCAGCAGUUACUAAAAUGUUCCUGGUCUGGCCAGUCCCAUCAAGCUUCACUCCUGCAAUUUGAGUGAGGGCAUCACGAGCUGUGAGUGCAGCUAUAGGUAAUGCUGCAGCUUCAGCAGCUGAGACUUCAGGUGGUCUGGAAGCUGUUAUGCUCUCACUGGCCACAGCAAACUCAGCCAGUCCACCUCCAUACUGAC
rnacentral:lncRNA from 1 species